GGCGGACGGGUGAGUAACGCGUAGGAAUCUGCCUAUAUGGGGGACAACAUGUGGAAACGCAUGCUAAUACCGCAUACGCCCUACGGGGGAAAGGAGGGGAUCUUCGGACCUUUCGCUAUUAGAUGAGCCUGCGUGAGAUUAGCUAGUUGGUGGGGUAAAGGCUCACCAAGGCGACGAUCUCUAGCUGGUCUGAGAGGAUGAUCAGCCACACUGGGACUGAGACACGGCCCAGACUCCUACGGGAGGCAGCAGUGGGGAAUAUUGGACAAUGGGGGGAACCCUGAUCCAGCCAUGCCGCGUGUGUGAAGAAGGCCUUAGGGUUGUAAAGCACUUUCAGAGGUGAGGAAGGGUGUGCCGUUAAUACCGGUAUAUUUUGACGUUAACCUCAGAAGAAGCACCGGCUAACUCUGUGCCAGCAGCCGCGGUAAUACAGAGGGUGCAAGCGUUAAUCGGAAUUACUGGGCGUAAAGCGCGC
rnacentral:rRNA from 1 species